UGUGGGUACCACAUCAUUUGUUUCCCUUGACUCUGGCGUCACAAACACAGCUUCUUGGAAUCUCAUGCCUGUUACUGGCUGUGUGAUCUGGAGCAACUGGGUUCACCUCUCUGAGCCUUUAUUUCCCACAUCUGCAAAGUGGUGCACAGUAAUACCCACGUUCCUGGCUCUGUGUAAGGAGCCAUGAGAAUGCAUUUAAAGGGCCCAGCACCCAGCUGCUCUCAGUAGAUGCUCAAGAGACAGUAACAACCCUAUCAUUAUAUGAGGUUCAUUGCAACUCAUCUGAUUCCCCUUCCAGUGGCUGGAGAACAUCCCACCUUCUGACCCUUGGGGAGAAGCAGAGUGUGCCCUUUCCCUGCCCACUGGAGAAGCUGAAACAACAAAAACUCCCUUCCCUGGCCUCCCUGCAGGAGACUCCAGGAAGACUCCUGAAUGCCACACACUCCUAAACCUGAGAGACCUUCAUGCAGAUUGGGGAGCAGCUUUAGGACUGCUGGGUGGAGCCACAGUGAGACAGAUAAGCUCCAGGAAAAUAAGAACUGCCAAAACAAUAGAGCCACCCAACAAAAAAAGGGGCUGCUACUGCAAGUGUAAGUCAAAGAUGGUGUCGAAAAUGGUGAAAUCAAGAACUAGUGCUUAGAAUUACGGAGAUUUAAAAACAGAAGAGACACCUCCCAGAGUUGCAAGUGGUCGCCUGUCCCAGAGAGCUGGUGAGAUGAGGUGGGGAGGCGGCAGCUGAGUUUUAUGAACUUGCCCCUGAAAUGGGCUAUGACUCAUUGAACUAUAAUUAGCCCCGUUUUGCAAGUGAGAAAGUGGAGUUCGAAGAUGUCAUCAGCCCAGGUCACACAGAUGGUGGAGACCAGUGUGGAGCCUGGGAGUGGGCUGAGCAGAGCAUCUGGACUUUGAGCUUCCAUCAGACCCCGAGAUAGUCACCUGUCCUGGCUGCCUGGUGACCCUGGUGUGCUAACUUGGCACUUAUCUUGCUCUAUGAAGGCCCCUGAGCCCCCUAAACACCAGAUGGGUGGCUUCAGCCAGCCCCAUACUGACCUGUGAAGCCCAGGUAUUGCUGGCCAACCCACCCCACUCACAGACAGAAGCAGUUCUCCGUCUUUUGGCUUUAGCAGAUCUGCUUCAUUUCUCCUCCCCACAAAGCCUGGACUUUGUUCUGGGGGUAUCCCUGUUUGCAGUGAAGCUUUUUCACUCAGUGCUCAAUCUGAUCCCAACUCCACCCCACAUCUCUGACUGCAUAGACCUUUGUGACUGCCUUGACCAGUAGAGUAUGGCAGAAGAUGCUCUGUAACUUCCCAGGCUAGAUCUAGAAAAUGCCACGCAUUUCUGCCUUGCUCUCCUGGGACAUCCACUCUUAGAACCCAGCUGCCGUGCUAAAAAGAACUCACAGACCACGUGGAGUGGAGCAGACGGGUCAGUGUCCCAGGUGGCAGCCCGUGUCAGCCUCAGACCUGCACGUGAGGAUGCCCACCAGAGGGUUCCUGCCACCACCGUCAAGUCACCCCAGGCUUCAUCUUCCAGCCGGCGCCUCAGGCAUUAUGGGCAGAGGUAAACUGUCUCCAUGAUGCCCUUUCCAAAUUUCUGACCCACAGAAUCCAUGACUAUAAUAAAAUGGCUGUUUUAUGUGCUCAAUUUUGGGGUGGUUUGUAGCAUAGCAGUAU